GACAGAGGGGGCAAGCGUUGCUCGGAAUUACUGGGCGUAAAGGGUGCGUAGGCGGGAUGGCAAGUCGGUCGUGAAAUCCUUCGGCUCAACCGAAGAACGUCGAUCGAUACUGCUGUUCUUGAGGGUUGCAGAGGAGACUGGAAUUCCCGGUGUAGCGGUGAAAUGUGUAGAGAUCGGGAGGAACACCGGUGGCGAAGGCGGGUCUCUGGGCAAUUCCUGACGCUGAGGCGCGAAAGCGUGGGGAGCAAACGGG
rnacentral:rRNA from 1 species